AGUGAACGCUGGCGGUAGGCCUAACACAUGCAAGUCGAACGGACGCACAGUAAGAGCUUGCUCUUACGGGUGGCGAGUGGCGGGCGGGUGAGGCGUACAUAGGCAUCUACUUUUUCGGGGGGGAUACCGUAGGGAAACUUACGCUAAUACCGCAUACGACCUACGGGUGAAAGCAUAGGAUCUUCGGACCUUGCGCGAUUGAAUGAGCCGAUGUCGGAUUAGCUAGUUGGCGGGGUAAAGGCCUACCAAGGCGACGAUCCGUAGCUGGUCUGAGAGGAUGAUCAGCCACACUGGAACUGAGACACGGUCCAGACUCCUACGGGAGGCAGCAGUGGGGAAUAUUGGACAAUGGGCGCAAGCCUGAUCCAGCCAUGCCGCGUGAGUGAAGAAGGUCUUCGGGUUGUAAAGCCCUUUUGUUGGGAAAGAAAAGCAGCAGGUGAAUACCCCGCUGUUCUGACGGUACCCAAAGAAUAAGCACCGGCUAACUUCGUG
rnacentral:rRNA from 1 species